GUCCACGCCCUAAACGAUGAUCACUCGAUGUGUGCGAUAAACUGUACGCGUCCAAGCGAAAGCAUUAAGUGAUCCACCUGGGGAGUACGACCGCAAGGUUGAAACUCAAAGGAAUUGACGGGGGCCCGCACAAGCGGAGGAGCAUGUGGUUUAAUUCGAUGAUACGCGAGGAACCUUACCAGGGCUUGAAAGUUAAGGAAUGAUGUAGAAAUAUGUCAGUCAGCAAUGACCUAAAACUAGGUGCUGCAUGGCUGUCGU
rnacentral:rRNA from 1 species